CUGCUGAGAGCAGAUAAAUUUCAGCCUAUUAUGGGAACACCCUAGAAGUUUGUAUAGAAAGGAAACUCUCUGUUUCCUGUAUCAUCCUUCUGGGGAUCUUGAAAGAGUUCACAAAAGCCACUUAAGCAAACUUUCUUUGCUGGAUAACGGAAGGAAAGGAAGCUGUGAACAAGCAAACAACACUCAAUUCCAUGAGACAAGAGAUACUGGUUCUUUACAUACUAAUUUUCCAUCCCGUUGCCAACGAGUGCCAAUCCAACUUGCUUUUCCAUCACCCAGGAUCAGCUAAAAGCUGAGAAUUAACAACUCCAGAGUGUAAAUAACAUGAGGAAAUACAGUGGAGAAAUAUCUGGACACGUCUGGACAUGUCUGGACAUUGCCAGAACGGGUCUAAAAUGUCAGGCUGAGGACUUGUAACAGAGUCUCUCUGUUAGAUUCAAGAUUCAUCUUGCUUUUUAAUAGAUGUGUACAGUUCUUCCAUUUUGCCUUCUGUGGUUUUCCUUUUCUGAAGUCUGGUAUGCUUUGCGGUUUAUUUAUUCAUGAGUUGUAGAAAAAGAAGU